AUUUGAUCGUACAGUUUACUUGGAUAACUGUGGUAAUUCUAGAGCUAAUACAUGCGAGAAGCGCCGACCUCGCGGGAGGCGUGCAUUUAUCAGACCAAAAACCGGCCGCGUCUUCGGGCGCGUUCGCCUUGGUGACUCUGGAUAACUUUGCGGAUCGCACGGUCUAGCACCGGCGACGGAUCAUUCAAGUGUCUGCCCUAUCAACUUUCGUCGGUACGGUAUUUGCCUACCGAGGUUCUUACGGGUGACGGGGAAUCAGGGUUCGAUUCCGGAGAGGGAGCCUGAGAAACGGCUACCACAUCCAAGGAAGGCAGCAGGCGCGCAAAUUACCCAUUCCCGACGCGGGGAGGUAGUGACGAAAAAUAACAAUGCAGGACUCGUUCGAGGCCCUGUAAUUGGAAUGAGUACACUUUAAAAGCUUUAACGAGUAUCCAUUGGAGGGCAAGUCUGGUGCCAGCAGCCGCGGUAAUUCCAGCUCCAAAAGUAUAUAUUUAAGUUGUUGCGGUUAAAAAGCUCGUAGUUGGAUUUUGGGCGCAGGCGGCCGGUCCGUCGCAAGGCGUGUACUGGACGUACUGGCCUUCCCUCCGGUUCUCCGCCGGUGCUCUUGACUGAGUGUCGGCGGCGGCCGGAACGUUUACUUUGAAAAAAUUAGAGUGUUCAAAGCAGGCUCUCGAGCCUGGAUAAUGGUGCAUGGAAUAAUGGAAUAGGACCUCGGUUCUAUUUUGUUGGUUUUCGGAGCGCGAGGUAAUGAUUAAGAGGGACAGAC
rnacentral:ncRNA from 1 species